AGUGGGGAAUAUUGGACAAUGGGCGCAAGCCUGAUCCAGCAAUGCCGCGUGUGUGAAGAAGGCCUUCGGGUUGUAAAGCACUUUUAUCAGGAGCGAAAUGCCAUUGGUUAAUACCCGGUGGAGCUGACGGUACCUGAGGAAUAAGCACCGGCUAACUUCGUGCCAGCAGCCGCGGUAAUACGAAGGGUGCAAGCGUUAAUCGGAAUUACUGGGCGUAAAGCGUGCGUAGGCGGUGAUUUAAGUCUGUUGUGAAAUCCCCGGGCUCAACCUGGGAAUGGCAAUGGAUACUGGAUCGCUAGAGUGUGAUAGAGGAUGGUGGAAUUCCCGGUGUAGCGGUGAAAUGCGUAGAGAUCGGGAGGAACAUCAGUGGCGAAGGCGGCCAUCUGGAUCAACACUGACGCUGAGGCACGAAAGCGUGGGGAGCAAACAGGAUUAGAUACCCUGGUAGUCCACGCCCUAAACGAUGCGAACUGGAUGUUGGUCUCAACUCGGAGAUCAGUGUCGAAGCUAACGCGUUAAGUUCGCCGCCUGGGGAGUACGGUCGCAAGACUGAAACUCAAAG
rnacentral:rRNA from 2 species